rnacentral:rRNA from 1 species
GAGUUGAUCCGGCUCAGAGUGAACGCUGGCGGCGUGCUUAACACAUGCAAGUCGAACGAGAACGGCUCUAGCUUGCUAGAGUGUCAGCUAAGUGGCGGACGGGUGAGUAAUGUAUAGUUAAUCUGCCCUUUAGAGAGGAAUAACUACUGGAAACGGUAGCUAAUACCUCAUACUCCUUCUUUAUUAAUUAAAGUUGGGAAAUGUUUUUUCGCUAAAGGAUGAGACUAUAUGGUAUCAGGUAGUUGGUGGGGUAAGAGCCUACCAAGCCAANGACGCCUAGCUGGUCUGAGAGGACGAUCAGCCACACUGGAACUGAGACACGGUCCAGACUCCUACGGGAGGCAGCAGUGGGGAAUAUUGCACAAUGGAGGAAACUCUGAUGCAGCAACGCCGCGUGGAGGAUGACACAUUUCGGUGCGUAAACUCCUUUUAUAUGGGAAGAUAAGAC